GUAAUUAUCGCUGGUUAGAGCAGCCGGCUCAUAACCGGCUGGUCCGGGGUUCGAGUCCCUGUCAUCCCA
rnacentral:tRNA from 1 species